AAAAGCACACAACUACAGUCAUUCAAAUUAAAUUGUAAAAGAAAAUAGUUUGUUUGUGUGUUGUACUAAUGGUGAGCACAAAGAGAAGACAACAAGAUUGUACUCAAUGUACAUCGCUGGCCCAUAACAUCGACAUCUCUAUAUAUACCUUCAACACUACUUGUGGGCAAUCCCCAAGAUACAUUGGAUAUCUCCCUUCAGUAUCAUGUCUCCAACAACUUAGCAGUUCAAUGCAGUUAGGAGUGUCUUCAUAGUUCUACAAGGUGACACGACAAGAUCAAUAAUUUUUCUGUUUCCAGGAGAUUGCAUGCCACAAAAAGGUGAACGUAGUCUGAAGCUGGCAAGAGGCAUUAUACUGCCUACAAUAAACGAACUUUUUGUCUGUGAGGGAUGUCCACCAACCCUGGUUUCAGAUU
rnacentral:lncRNA from 1 species